rnacentral:tRNA from 1 species
GGAGUCGUAUCGAAGUGGUCAUAACGAGGCUGACUCGAAAUCAGUUUGUCGGGCUUAUCCCCGGCACGAGGGUUCGAAUCCCUCCGACUCCG